rfam:Bacillus licheniformis ATCC 14580, complete genome.
AUUGAGCGGCAGCUUCGACAUUGAUCAGACCUUUUCCAUAGUAGAAGGAGCUUCCCAAAUAAGUCGCCGUACUGGAGAGACGGUUGCGGACUUGUGAAGCUGAAAGGUUCGGAUGUUUUGACAAGAUCAAAGCUGCUGCUCCCG